GAUGAACGCUGGCGGCGUGCCUAAUACAUGCAAGUCGAGCGAACAGACGAGGAGCUUGCUCCUCUGACGUUAGCGGCGGACGGGUGAGUAACACGUGGAUAACCUACCUAUAAGACUGGGAUAACUUCGGGAAACCGGAGCUAAUACCGGAUAAUAUAUUGAACCGCAUGGUUCAAUAGUGAAAGACGGUUUUGCUGUCACUUAUAGAUGGAUCCGCGCCGCAUUAGCUAGUUGGUAAGGUAACGGCUUACCAAGGCAACGAUGCGUAGCCGACCUGAGAGGGUGAUCGGCCACACUGGAACUGAGACACGGUACAGACUCCUACGGGAGGCAGCAGUAGGGAAUCUUCAGCAAUGGGCGAAAGCCUGACGGAGCAACGCCGCGUGAGUGAUGAAGGUAUUCGGAUCGUAAAACUCUGUUAUGAGGGAAGAACAAAUGUGUAAGUAACUAUGCACGUCUUGACGGUACCUAAUCAGAAAGCCACGGCUAAAUAAGUG
rnacentral:rRNA from 1 species